AGUGAACGCUGGCGGUAGGCCUAACACAUGCAAGUCGAACGGCAGCACAGUAAGAGCUUGCUCUUACGGGUGGCGAGUGGCGGACGGGUGAGGAAUACAUCGGAAUCUACUUUUUCGGGGGGGAUAACGUAGGGAAACUUACGCUAAUACCGCAUACGACCUACGGGUGAAAGCAGGGGAACUUCGGACCUUGUGCGAUUGAAGGAGGCGAUGUCGGAUUUGGUAGUUGGGGGGGUAAAGGUCCACCAAGGCGACGAUCCGUAGCUGGUCUGAGAGGAAGAUCAGCCUCACCGGCACUGGCACACAGUCCCGGGCCCGACGGGUGGCGGCGGUGGCGGAUAUUGGACAAUGGGCGGGAGCCUAAUCCAGCCCUACCCCUGCCGUGAAGAGGGCCUUCGGGUUUUAAAGCCCUUUUGUUGUGAAAGAAAAGCAGCAAGUUAAUACCCCGCUGUUCUGACGGUACCCAAAGAAUAAGCCCCGGCUAACUUCGUG
rnacentral:rRNA from 1 species